GACGAACGCUGGCGGCGUGCUUAACACAUGCGAGUCGAACGGAAAGGCCCUGCUUUUGUGGGGUGCUCGAGUGGCGAACGGGUGAGUAACACGUGAGUAACCUGCCCUUGACUUUGGGAUAACUUCAGGAAACUGGGGCUAAUACCGGAUAGGAGCGCCUGCUGCAUGGGGGGGGUUGGAAAGUUUCGGCGGUUGGGGAUGGACUCGCGGCUUAUCAGCUUGUUGGUGGGGUAGUGGCUUACCAAGGCUUUGAAGGGUAGCCGGCCUGGGAGGGUGACCGGCAACAUUGGGACUGAGAUACGGCCCAGACUCCUACGGGAGGCAGAAGUGGGGAAUAUUGCACAAUGGGCGGAAGCCUGAUGAAGAAACGCCGCGUGCGGGAUGACGGCCUUCGGGUUGUAAACCGCUUUAGCCUGUGACGAAGCGUGAGUGACGGUAAUGGGUAAAGAAGCACCGGCUAACUACGUG
rnacentral:rRNA from 1 species